CUAAUACAUGCAAGUCGAGCGAGCGGAACCAACAGAUUUACUUCGGUAAUGACGUUGGGAAAGCGAGCGGCGGAUGGGUGAGUAACACGUGGGGAACCUGCCCCUAAGUCUGGGAUACCAUUUGGAAACAGGUGCUAAUACCGGAUAAUAAAGCAGAUCGCAUGAUCAGCUUUUGAAAGGCGGCGUAAGCUGUCGCUAAGGGAUGGCCCCGCGGUGCAUUAGCUAGUUGGUAAGGUAACGGCUUACCAAGGCGACGAUGCAUAGCCGAGUUGAGAGACUGAUCGGCCACAUUGGGACUGAGACACGGCCCAAACUCCUACGGGAGGCAGCAGUAGGGAAUCUUCCACAAUGGACGCAAGUCUGAUGGAGCAACGCCGCGUGAGUGAAGAAGGUUUUCGGAUCGUAAAGCUCUGUUGCUGCUGAAGAA
rnacentral:rRNA from 1 species